rnacentral:rRNA from 1 species
AUUGAACGCUGGCGGCAGGCCUAACACAUGCAAGUCGAGCGGGGUUUUCGGACCCAGCGGCGGACGGGUGAGUAAUGCGUAGGAAGCUACCCGGUAGAGGGGGAUACCAGUUGGAAACGACUGUUAAUACCGCAUAAUGUCUACGGACCAAAGUGUGGGACCUUCGGGCCACAUGCUAUCGGAUGCGCCUACGUGGGAUUAGCUAGUUGGUGAGGUAAUGGCUCACCAAGGCGACGAUCCCUAGCUGGUUUGAGAGGAUGAUCAGCCACACUGGAACUGAGACACGGUCCAGACUCCUACGGGAGGCAGCAGUGGGGAAUAUUGGACAAUGGGCGCAAGCCUGAUCCAGCCAUGCCGCGUGUGUGAAGAAGGCCUUCGGGUUGUAAAGCACUUUCAGUAGGGAGGAAGGGUGUUGUGUUAAUAGCGCAGCAUUUUGACGUUACCUACAGAAGAAGCACCGGCUAACUCUGUGCCAGCCGCCGCGGUAAGAC